GCUUGCUUUCUUUGCUGGCGACCGGCGCACGGGUGAGUAACACGUAUCCAACCUGCCCUUUACUCGGGGAUAGCCUUUCGAAAGAAAGAUUAAUACCCGAUAGUAUAAUGAUUCCGCAUGGUUUCAUUAUUAAAGGAUUCCGGUAAAGGAUGGGGAUGCGUUCCAUUAGGUUGUUGGUGGGGUAACGGCCCUCCAAGCCUUCGAUGGAUAGGGGUUCUGAGAGGAAGGUCCCCCACAUUGGAACUGAGACACGGUCCAAACUCCUACGGGAGGCAGCAUG
rnacentral:rRNA from 1 species